rnacentral:rRNA from 1 species
UACGAAGGGGGCUAGCGUUGCUCGGAAUCACUGGGCGUAAAGCGCACGUAGGCGGCUUUUUAAGUCGGUGGUGAAAUCCUGGAGCUCAACUCCAGAACUGCCUCCGAUACUGAAAGGCUCGAGUCCGGGAGAGGUGAGUGGAACUGCGAGUGUAGAGGUGAAAUUCGUAGAUAUUCGCAAGAACACCAGUGGCGAAGGCGGCUCACUGGCCCGGUACUGACGCUGAGGUGCGAAAGCGUGGGGAGCGAACAGG